UCCUCGAUUAUGGUUGUUGGUGAGGUAACGGCUCACCAAGCCGAUAAUCGAUAGGGGCCGUGAGAGCGGGAGCCCCAAGAUGGGUACUGAGACAGCGACCCAGGCCUUACGAGGCGCAGCAGGUACGAAACCUCCGCAAUACAGGAAAGUGUGACGGGGUUACCCAAAGUGUUCUUAUUGAACUGUGGCAGGUGAGUAAUGUCCCCUGCUAGAAAGGAGAGGGCAAGGCUGGUGCCAGCCGCCGCGGUAAAACCAGCUCUUCAAGUGGUCGGGAUAAUUAUUGGGCUUAAAGUGUCCGUAGCCGGUUUAGUAAGUUCCUGGUAAAAUCAGGUAGCUUAACUAUCUGUAUGCUAGGAAUACUGCUAUACUAGAGGGCGGGAGAGGUCUGAGGUACUACAGGGGUAGGGGUGAAAUCUUAUAAUCCUUGUAGGACCACCAGUGGCGAAGGCGUCAGACUGGAACGCGCCUGACGGUGAGGGACGAAAGCCAGGGGAGCGAACCGGAUUAGAUACCCGGGUAGUCCUGGCCGUAAACGAUGCAUACUAGGUGAUGGUACGGCCAUGAGCCGUGUCAGUGCCGUAGGGAAACCGUUAAGUGUGCCGCCUGGGAAGUACGGUCGCAAGGCUAAAACUUAAAGGAAUUGGCGGGGGAGCACCACAAGGGGUGAAGCCUGCGGUUCAAUUGGACCCAACGCCGGGAAACUUACCAGGGGAGACAGUAGAAUGAAGGUCAGGUUGACGCCCUUACCCGACGAGCUGAGAGGAGGUGCAUGGCCGUCGCCAGUUCGUGCUGUGAGGUAUCCUGUUAAGUCAGGCAACGAACGAGAUCCGCACCUUUAUUUGCCAGCAAGAAGUCACGACUUCGUUGGGAACACUAAAGGGACUGCCGUCGAUAAGACGGAGGAAGGAGCGGGCAAAGGCAGGUCAGUAUGCCCCGAAACCCCUGGGCUACACGCGGGCUGCAAUGAUAUGAACAAUGGGCUGUGACUCCGAAAGGAGAAACCAAUCCCGAAAUCAUAUCUCAGUGGGGAUUGUCGGCUGUAACCCGCUGACAUGAACGUGAAUCCCUAGUAAUCGUGUGUCAUCAUCGCACGGUGAAUACGUCUCUGCUCCUUGCACACACCGCCCGUCGCUCCAUCCGAGUGUACUAAAAAUGAGGUUUGGUCAAUUUGGUCAUAUCGAGUUUCUAGUAUGCGAGGAGGGAGAAGUCGUAACAAGGUA
rnacentral:rRNA from 1 species